rnacentral:ncRNA from 2 species
AAACAUAGAAGUUUGGUCCUGGCCUUUUUAUGAAUUCUCAGUAAAAUUACACAUACAAGCAUCCCCGCCCCAGUGAGAAUGCCCUCCAGAUCACCUGGUUCAAAAGAAGGAGGUAUCAAGCACGCAUAAACGCAGCUCAAAACACUUUGCUCGACCACACCCCUACGGGAAACAGCAGUGAUAAAUUUUAAUUCAUAAGUGAAAGUAUGACUAACCUAUACAAUAUUUAGGGUUGGUAAAUUUUGUGCCAGCCACCGCGGCCAUACGAUUAACCCAAGCUAAUAAAACUCGGCAUAAAGAGUGUUUAAGGUCUUCAGUCAACAAAGUUAAGCUCUAUCUAAAUCGUAAAAAUCUCCAGCUGAAAUAAAAUAUACUACGAAAGGGACUUUAAUGUCCUGAGGACACAACAGCUAAGGCACAAACUGGGAUUAGAAACCCCACUAUGCUUACACAAAUAGUUAUAUUAACAAGACUGUUCGCCAGAGUACUACAUGCAGCAGCUUAAAACUCAAAGGACUUGGCGGUGCUUUAUAGCCUUCUAGAGGAGCCGGUUCUAUAAUUGAUAAACCCCGAUAUACCUCACCAUCUCUUGUCACUCAGCCUAUAUAACACCAGCUUCAGCAAACCCUAAUAUAUAUAUAUAUAUAUAUAUAUAUAUAUAUAUAUAUAUAUAUAUAUAUAUAUAGUAAACACAAGUAUGCACUAGGUCAAGGUGUAGUCCAUGGGAUGGUAAGAAAUGGGCUACAUUUUCUACAUCCAGAAAUAUCUCACAAUAACCUUCAUGAAAUCUAAAUGUUCGAAGAGGAUUUAGUAGUAAAUCAAGAACAGAGUGCUUGAUUGAAUAAGGCCAUAAGGCAAGCACACAAGCCCGUCACCCUCUUCAAGUAGUGCUCUAGAAAUCACUAUUAUUAAUAAUUGCUUACACACAUACAGAGGAGAUAAAUCGUAACACGGUAAGUGUACUGGAAAGUGCACCUGGAUAAACCAAAGU